rnacentral:lncRNA from 1 species
UAAAAUUUUAUAAUGCUUAAAUCAUUUAAUUAUUUUUAUAAGACCAUAAACUUUAUACAUUAUAAAGAGAUCAAGUCAUUUACUAUUAUUUAGAUGUAAAUAGAAAGAAAAAAAAAUAUGGUUGAAACUUUAAAGUUGGUUUAUGUUCUGAUUCUAUUUUAUUCCAUAUUUCUUGGCAUAAUAGUAUGUAAUUCUUCUGGAAUUACGUAUUUUGACGUUCGUUGUGAAAAAGAUAAAGAUUGUCCAAAACCUCCGAGGAUUAAUAUUAGGAUUAAUAUUAGGUGUCGUAAAGGCUUCUGUGUACAGAUCUGAAACAUACUAAUGAUAUAAAUGAGUUCUUGCUUUAACAAGAUAAUUGUAUGAUAUAUCUUAUGUUAAAAUGUUUCAUUUGUUAUCAUUUAGAUUUUAUGCAUGCACUAAAUAUUUAUUCCUCCUCCUGCUCCUCAAUACUAAUUUCACAUAAUCCUCAUCUUGAAACCAUUAAUUCAAACCAAGUCUUAUCAAAUCCAUUGUUAAUUAUGUUUCAGUCCUCACUGAGAUGAGACAAUAUGAAAAUAUUAUAAUGAAUCAACAAUAAGCAGUAUCAAAAAGAAAUUAAACAAAAAAACUACAUUUUUUUAAUGUAAAAUACAUAUAUUAUAAAUAAAAAGGUGAAAUCUCAUGCAAGAGUACAACCACAUAGAAAUUAAUGUACAAGAAGUACUAAAGUCAAGCAAUAAUAAAAAACAUAGAAUCCCACCCACAGAAAAACAAAAGUAAGAACUAAAACACCAACGGAAAACCAACUAAACUCCUAUCAAGAACCCUCAACCACAGGCUAAAGUUUAGAGUUCGACUCGACUUUUAGUUCGUCGAACUUGGUUCAUGAACCAAAUAAGUUGAGUUUGAGCUGAAAAUUAAAUUCGUUAAAUAAAUGAAUGAGCUUCAACUAUAUAUAAUUUAACUCAUUUGAAAGUUAAGCUCAUUUAGUUCAUGAAUCGACUCGAUUACAAAUAUAUAUUUGCAACAUGUGGCAAAUUUCAAGGGGCAACAUAGAGAGUUAGCACAAAACAAGUCCCACAUCGAAGGUCUUGUAAGCUAACAAAGGUCAAAGUAAAAUAAGCUCUUGUGUUGCAUCCUUCUACGAUGUGUUUUCACUGUCAUUAAAGUGACAUACACAUUCCAUUUUUCACUUGAACAAAGUAGUUUAAUUUUUUUUAAGUUACCACUAUUACGUGAGCACUCGGUUUCUUGAACCAAUUUGUGGUUUGGAAGGGGUUUUUGGGAAUUCUAUAGAUUUGUAUAUCUAAUAUUUGCCUUUUAAAAAUAAUUAAAUUAAAUGGUGAAAAGAUCUAAAAAAAUAUCUCUUUUUUUACAACAAAAGAAAAUAAUUUGAAUUAUGAGUUUCAAGCUAACUAACCGAACCUAACGAGUCGAACUGAGUUGUUCAUGAACUUUUAAUGAGUCGAACUUAAGCCAAAAAAUAGUUCAUAUCGAAUUCGAGUCGAGUUUCGAGCCGAACUAUUUCUUAAAGAGUUGAGUCGAGCUCAGACAAGUUCGACACGAUUCGAUACAUUUCCAGCCCUAACCACAACCGAACAAGAGCAAGACUAGGAACAUAACCCAUCAGUCAACCAAUCCAAGACAAAUCUACCAUAAGUCACUAACGGUGUCAACAUAGAAUGUGUUCAUGAUCCCAAUUAUAGAAGGAACAAGGGUGACCACAAUGUUUUCAUAAAAACCACUUUCAAGAGGAAAAUUUAACAAUAUCCACCAACCGUAGCAGAUCAGUUAAUAUUUGUUAAAAGUGGAGAAAGAAAAGCCCAAUUUUUGCACGUAAUUUAGCCUAGGAUGGUCCUUCCCAACGACUUAGGUUUUCAGAGCCACCCAUGACAACCAAGAAUGAUUCCAUAAUAAAUAAUAAUUAUUUUAACAAUUUUGUUUUAAAAUCAAUAUCAAUUUACUUUGUAAAUAUUCUGAUUCGCAUAAUUGACGUGAAUAAAAAAGUAGAAUAAAUUAUGCAAUGAAAUUUUAAAUUUACAUUUUACACGUUCAUAAUAAUGUUCUCACUCCAAUGGUGUAAUAUAUUCAUACAUAC